rnacentral:rRNA from 1 species
GUGGGGAAUAUUGGACAAUGGGCGAAAGCCUGAUCCAGCAAUGCCGCGUGAGUGAUGAAGGCCCUAGGGUUGUAAAGCUCUUUUACCAGGGAUGAUAAUGACAGUACCUGGAGAAUAAGCUCCGGCUAACUCCGUGCCAGCAGCCGCGGUAAUACGGAGGGAGCUAACGUUGUUCGGAAUUACUGGGCGUAAAGCGCGCGUAGGCGGUUUUUUAAGUCAGAGGUGAAAGCCCGGGGCUCAACCCCGGAAUUGCCUUUGAAACUGGAAAACUUGAAUCUUGGAGAGGUCAGUGGAAUUCCGAGUGUAGAGGUGAAAUUCGUAGAUAUUCGGAAGAACACCAGUGGCGAAGGCGACUGACUGGACAAGUAUUGACGCUGAGGUGCGAAAGCGUGGGGAGCAAACAGGAUUAGAUACCCGUGUAGUCC